CUCAGAGGGAGUCAACCCAGAAACAGACAAAGAGGGAACCCAAGACCUUCACUUGGUUGGUGUGAGCACUCCAGGAGGCAGGCACCCUCCCUCAGCCCUCAAGCAAGCAAAAAUGGGUUUAAAAAAAGAAGGAGAAGAAGCAGCAGCAGCAGCCGCCACAGAGCUUGUGACAGCUACAGCCUAAGGGCAACAGGCAGGGGAGACCAAGGACCAGAAAGAGCAGAGGCUUUUUCAAAGAAAGAGAUCCCUCUCCCAGCACCCAGCGAUGGCGG
rnacentral:lncRNA from 10 species